CAAACAUUACUUCUAUUUUACCUUUUAACAUAAAUAAGAGAUAUUAUGUUUAUAAAAAUCAACAAUCAAAUAAAGAUGCGCGUACUUAUUAUGAAAUUCUUGGAGUCUCGCCAUCGGCGUCUCCUUUCGAAUUAAAACGUGCAUACUUUGAAAAAGCAAAACGGUGCCAUCCAGAUCGAAAUCCAGGAGACAAAACUGCUAGUUUAGAGUUUCAGAAAGUUGCUAAUGCUUACGAAGUUUUAAAAAAUCCAAGUUCUAAAGCAACUUAUGAUAAUUCUCUAAAAAAUAAUUCUUUUUCUGCUGCAUUUAACAAAAAUCGCGCUUCAGAAGAAUUUCAAAA